rnacentral:tRNA from 1 species
GCCUUCGUGGUGUAACGGUCAGCACGCUCGGCUCGUAUUCGAAAGGUCCAGGUUUCGAGUCCCGGCGAGGGUA